GAUUUUUAUGGAUUGAUUUUAUUUGGUUGAAAUGAGUUGAAAGGUAAUGAAAUUACAGUAUGAUGAUUUAUUUCAAUUGUCUCCAUUUACUCGAUUUAGAUAGUUUAGAUGGUAUCUGUUUACUCACUGAAAUUUUAUAAUCUCACCACCCUCAUUUCCUCACAUUUCAGGCUCGGGGAAUUCCAUAGUUAGCUGACUUUGACAAGGACCUUCAUUUGGACUCGAAUCGGUAAAAGCUGAAGGUUUUCAACUUUCGAUGCAUUUUGAUUAGAUGUGGGCCCACGUGUCACUGUAAAAGAAAUUUUAUGCUUUGGUUAUUUGCUUUAUAGUAUAUAUGAAUAUAAUUAACUUUUACGCUAUAAGAAUUAUGCACCAAUAGUUUUAUGAAAAUUAUUUUACAAGAAAAUAGUUUAUUUUAUUGAAUAUUUUUAUUAUAUUCAAAUGGUCAAAUUUUCACUUCAAAUGAACGUUUUAGAUAUAUAAUUUGUUUUUAAAUCAUUAAAUAUAUAUUUUCUGCUUACCUACUACAUUUUUAGCAAGUUUCGAGAUUUUUGACAAAAAAGACAAAAAUACCCCUGUGAGCUAGAAAACAAUAUGUUAUGUUUUGAUUUGAUAUUUGAUAACUAUUGCUCAUCGGGGAAGUGCAAAAGCUGAUACGAGAGUCUUGUGAGGUUUCGAUCAAUAUUCGGGGUAAAGAAUGUUUAUCGAGGCCUUGCCACAGUUGUCACGGGCUCGAUGGGGAGCUCCGGGUCAUGACAACAACCGUCGCGACGUCACGAUAAGCACUUAUUACCCGAAAUGCCGAUCGAAACCCCGCAAGACUUAGCAUCAGCUUCUGUAUCUCCCCGGUGAGCGAUAGUUAUUAAAUCUCGCAUUUCAAGAAAUCAUAAGUCGUUUCCAAAUCAAAACAAUAUAAUAUUAUUUUUUAACUCACAAGGGCAUUUUCGUCAUUUUUUUUCGAAAAUACUGAAACCUGCCAAAAACAUGGUGUGUAGGUGAAAAACACAUAUUUCAUAAUUAAAAGUAAAUUUAGAUAUCUAAAAUAAUUAUUUGAAAAGAAAUUAUAAUUGUUUGAAUAAAAUAAUAAUAUUCAAUGAAAUAAUCUAUUUUCUAAAUAGAAAAAAUAAUAUUUAUAGAGAAAUCCGUAAUUUAAUUUCUGUAGUGUAAAAGCUAAAUGUAUUCAUACGUACUUUAAAGCAGAUAACCGAAGUAUAAAAUUACUUUUACAGUGACACGUGGGCCUCCAAUUAACCAAUAAAGUGCGAGUUUGUGAACUUACAAUUUUGUCGAUGUAAGGCUAACUGAAGUCCUUGAUGCAAUCGGCUAUCUACCGGCUAUCCCGAGCCUGAAAUGUGGGAAAUUGAGGGUGGUGAAAUUAUAAAAUUCUAGUGAGUAAACAGAUACCAUCUAAACUAUCUAAAGGCAAGUAAAUGGAAACGAAUUAAAAUAUUCUUUUUCAAUAUAUGUUUCAUAACAUGAAUAUUCAGUUUACUCAAUUAAUCAAUAUGACUUAUAUAUCUCAUAAAACUUGGCUCUUGCCAAAAUCGUUCUCACCGGUACCUUCGUCAAGGUAUCCCACUAAAUAGCCAAGGCUGUUAAAUGUCCCAUACCCAUAAACAUGUUUUCGCAUCUUACACACAGCCGUUCCUUGGCGUUGGCUGAGUCUCACUCUCACGCGGUGGUUCACGUGAACUGCACUCAAAUCUUUACCUCUAGAGAAACCUUCCACACGGCUCUCUGAUUGAGGUAAGGUAUAUCUGAUUCUGUGCCCCCUCUUUAGGCUGGUCCACAGAACCUCCACUGCAAAGAUUAUGGAUUAUUUUAUCUACCACCUGAUUUAUAAAAUCUUUAUCUGCAUAACAUGGUAAUUUAUCGCAAUUUAGCCUCUCAAGGCUGAAUACAUAGUAUAUAUAAUUUUGAUACAAAUACUGACUUUGCCAUUCAUGCUCACAUAUUGCUAUAAGCCAUAUAAUUUAAAACACAAUUUAUAACACAAGCGGGCAGUCUCCAAUUACUCUACUUUCAAAACCAGUAUUCAAUUUUUCAGAAAAUUUAUAUUAUCAUUUUAUAAAAUCGCAAUUUCUCCUAAAACAUAGCAAUGUAUCAUUUAAACUCAUUUUCUAUAAAAUCACACAAAUGUAUAAAAUUACUCUAAAUAAUUAAGACGAUAGUAAGUUCACUCACAGUUCUAAGAGUCGACAUACUCCUAAUCCCAAUCUUCAAGCACAAUCUCUAUACUUUUACCAGCGUAAUUUGCUCACCACUUAUCCAUAAUGUGCAAUACAUAAUUCACCACAUUAAUGCUUAACCAUUAUAAAUCAAUUCAGGCUCGGUGUAUAUGCAUGAUAUGAUAUGCAACUUAUCCGACUACCGCUUAAAUGCAAUGCUGACCUAAUUCGGCCUAUUACCCUAUUAAAUGACAAUUGUGUCCGAUUUGGCUCCAAAUUACUCCAUUUCAUUUCCAAUACCUCAAUUCACCAAAUAUUAUUCAAAAAACAUCAAUUUUAGCAUCAAAACCCUCCCAUUUCUUUAUAACAUAAGCGGACAGUUUCCAAUUACUCUACUUUCAAAACCGAUAUUCAUUUUUCCAGAAAAUUUAUAUUAUCAUUUUAUAAAAUCACAAUUUCUCCUAAAACAUAGCAAUUUAUCAUUUAAACCCAUUUUCUAUAAAAUCACACAAAUGUACAAAACUACUCUAGAUAAUUAAGACGAUAAUAAGUUCACUCACAGUUCUAGGAGUCGACGUACUCCUAAUCCCAGUCUUCAAGCACAAUCUUUGUACUUUUACCAGUGUAAUUUGCUCACCACCUAUCCACAAUGUACAAUACAUAAUUCACCACAUUAAUGCUUGACCAUUAUAAAUCAAUUCAGGCUCGGUGUAUAUUCAUGAUAUGAUAUGUAACUUAUCCGACUAUCGCUUAAAUGCAGUGCUGACCUAAUUCAGCCUAUUACCCGAUUAAAUGACAAUUGUGUCCGAUUUGGCUCCGAAUUGCUCCAUUUCAUUUCUAAUACCUCAAUUCACUAAACAUUAUUCAAAUAACAUCAAUUUCAGCAUCAAAACCCUCCCAUUUCUUCAUGAAAAAAUUCAGCCAUCACAGUGCACUAACACCGUGAUUUUUCCUACUUAAUUUUCUCACCAUUAUUCAUCAUUUUCUAACCCAUUUCUCUUAAAAUAAUAACAAUCCAUCACCCACACACAUCAAGGAAGAUUCGGCCAUGAAGAUUCAUGUGGAAAAUGGAUUCUUCUCUUGUUGUUUUGCUUCUGAAUAUGCUAAACUAACUAAAAACACUAACAUAUCUUAAAAUCAAUUCAAUCCAACAUCUUUCUCUCUCCUUACCCAUUUUGACCAGCCAUGAAUUCAUCAUGAAAACAUGUAAUUUAAGCAUGAAAAAUAAGGAGAAAUGCUUAAGGAAAAUAGAUUUCAAGCUUAAGUUGAAAAAUCCUACCUUUUUCACUUGUUUUCCUUGAUUUUCCACACUUUUUCUCUUGAAAUUCUUCAGCUAGGGUUUGUUCUUCCUUUCUUUCCCUCUCUUCCUUGCUUGGCCGAAUAUUUGGAGAGAUAAUGGGCUGAUUUAUGCUGAUUUUUAAGUUAAAUAAUAAAAUAUCCUAAGCUUGACACAUGGCAUGUUUCCAUUGGUCCAUUUUUAAAACUUUAAAAAUUU
rnacentral:lncRNA from 1 species